UUAAUUUUAUUUAUAUUUUGGGUUCUCUCUGCGAAGAGCGAAGCCGCUCUGUCGCCGCCGGUGGUCUCUCGAGACGAUGAUGAAUCGAUGAAGCCGAAGGGAAGACCCGAUUGUAGUAGAGAUAUACGUUCUAUCCAAGUUAAGUCUUGUCUUAUCCAACGGUGGGAGAUGUUUUCCAGUCCAAAACACGAACGGGCCAAUUUCUAAAGAGGAAUUAGCGAAGACUACGAUGAUCGACGAGCCCUUCUUAUUUCUUGUUUGGGUUUUUUUUUUUCUUUCGGACAAGAUUGCAAAACCAUCAUCGAGUCGAGACGUGUAGGAGAGAUUGCGUGUCUGCUACUCUGUUCUUGCUUCCUCAAUCCUCACCCACCAAUUCAACUCGUCUCGAUCUCUCUCUUCUCCCCCACGGUUUGUCUUCCCAAUUUUGUGCUUCUUGUUCCUUUUCUUCGUUUCUGAUUUCUGUUGAUUUGGUUUUUUUUCCUUUUUUUUUUUUUUUUCUUGUGAAGCGACGAAAGUAGAUUCAGAACAUGGUCGCUAUGCUAGGGUUUGAAGAACUGACAAAGAAGAUUCAGAACCAACACUGAGAUGCCUUACAAUAACAACAUCAAACAAACAAACUGAUUGAACCCUAUGCCUACGACUCUACGAGCUAGUUCUCUGGUACUCAGACUGCUCCUAAAGUACGACAGAGCUCUCUGGUCUGGUUUAUAGUGCAGCCGGGAAAGUGGAUUUGGAUCUUCCAAUCAUAAGUCAUAACACACUUUUGGAUCCUCUGAUUGGAGAGAACCCCUUCAAUGUUAAAGUUGCUCAAGUGGAUGAAACAUAGAACUCUCAGCCAUUAUAUAUUGAUGGACAGCUUCUUCUCCCACGGCCCCCAUAAAUACCUCUUGUAUGGAGAUGGAGAUAUAUCUCGACAAAGGCAGAUCAUAUGCUCGCUUUACCUAAGGUAAUUAACAAACCUCUUCUUAGAGUGGACAGCAAGGUAAGCAUUGUAAUGGAGCUAUGGAGUUGGGUGGAAUGGAAAAGUGUUGGCAAUGGAAGAUACAUUAAAGAAGGAGCCACAAGUGAAGAGCCGAGAUGUUUGUUUGUUCAGUUGACUGGUGGACUUUGAGGAGGCUGCUGUUUGGAGAGAGCAAACUCAAAAAAGGCCAAGCAGGCCGACAAAGGCCCAAUAACAACAACUUCAGCCCAUCAAACAAGACAUGCCCAGCCCAGGGAAAAUUUUCCAGCAAUUAAAAUUUCUCAGGUGUGAAUAGAGAGAGAGAGGGAGAGAGAGCACUGUGCAUUCACCGCCGCACCGGUGUAACGGUACCAGCAGCAAUUCAUCUUCUCUCCUCCAUGGUUUGUCUUCCCAAUUCUUGUGAUGUUAUGACUUAUGUGUAGAGUGGCUGAGCCGCUGAGACGAGAACUAUGGACUAUUUUGGGUCAGAGUUUUGGUGGCUUCCGUGCACUUUACUACGCCGUAAGGACUCAAUCAAGUGCUCAUAACUUGUACACAUGAUUGUUGUCAAGGUCUGCUUCUCUGAAGCUUGGAGAGAGCCAAACUCAAUGGCCAAGAUUUGUACAUGAUGCCCUAGUGAAAUUGCUGGGUGGAGGAGAAGUAUUUGGUACUCUCAAAGAGGAAGCAAAAGACAACGAGUCCCUUGAAAAAGACCUCUUCGGAUACAAUUAGAUUUGCGAGGCCAGAGCUAUGGGGCUGGUUGAAAUCGAAGACUGUUGGCCAUGGAAGGUACAUUACACAAGGAGCCAAGUGAAGAGCUCAGAUGUUUCUUCAGUUCUAUUAGUGACCAAUCCGUUGGGAUGGGGAGUCAUUCGUGGAGUCAGACCAGAUCAGCAGUUGGUCAAGAUUGUACUUGAUGAGCUACUGAAAUUGGUGGGUGGAUGAGAUAGUAUCUGAGCUACAUUUUCUUGUACUCAGAGCUGCAUUCACCGGGCUACCAGCAUUUCAGCUCCUCUCUCUCCAUGCGAGACGAGAGAUAUGGAGGUAGUUGAAAUCAAUGACUGUUGGCCAUGGAAGAUACAUUACAGAAGGAGCCAAGUGAAAAGCCAAGAUGUUUGUUCUGUUGACUGGUGGACUCGAGGAUGCUGCUUGCAGACCAAACUCAAAGGUCAAGUAACCAAACCGUUGGGAUGGGAGUCAUUCGUCGAGUCAAACCAGAUCAGCAAUUGGCCAAGCUAGUCAAAUUGAUGGGUGGAGGAGAAGUAUAUGAGCUACACUUCCUUGUACGCAGAGCUGCAUUCACCGGGCGACCAGCAAUUAAGCUUCUCUCUUUCUUCUACACGGUUUCUACAAAAUACCAUCUUUAUGCCAUUGUGGAGCAUCUUUGGAAUAUAGCAUCUUUUGGUCAUUACUCCUCUUAUGUGAUGUCAGCUCCUCAGAUAUGGCAUACGUUUGAUGACGCCAAGGGAAGUCUGGUGCCGAAGAAGUCAACUUUCCCUUCUGGUAUUAAAAGCACCUGCGGAUAUGUUCACAGCUCGGGAUUUACUCAGAUGUCGGGUAUUUUACCUGCAGCAAAAGCAUGCCAGGUUCUUUAGGCCAUGAGGAGCAUGAUGCCAAUACCUUUGCAGAAUGGGUGCGUUAGAUGUCAUUCUUGUAUUCUCACAUUCUCUUAGACAACGAGUCCCUUGAAAAGACCUCUUCGGAUACAAUUACAUUUGCGAGGCAAGAGAUAUGGAGCUGGUUGAAAUCGAAGAUAUGGAGUUUGGUAGGUGCAUGUUGGCCAUGAAAGUUGCAUUACGGAAGGAGCCAAGUUAAGAGCCAAGCUGUUUGUUCGGUUGAGGAGGCCGCUUGCCCUUGAGCUCAAAGGCCAAGGUUUUUUUGAAACAAAUUUAUGAUCCGAUCAUCAUCGCUCGCUCCCUCCUCCUACGGUUUGAUUCUAAAGGAAUGGGAUCAGUACUGUCUCUUGAUGCUUUGUGAUGCUACUUACUAAGGUUGACGCUAUAGAUGGAAUUGUCUAUGUAUGAUGUAUACGACUCUACAAGGUUUUGGAUGAUGCUUUUAUCAUCAAUCAGUGAUCUUCCUCAGGCAUUCUCAUGGGUUCCUUUUGCUCUAAACACAUCUCUUUUAUUUGUCUCUGAAUAUUCACUUUGGUUCUAUGGUCUUCUUUUUCUUCUCAUUACAUGUUAAUAUCUACUUGUCGUUUUUAUCAUUUCAGGUUUUGGAUGAUGCUUUUAUCAUUCAGUGAUGGGUUUGACUGAUCGGACUAGAUCAGCAGUUGGUGAAGAUUGUACAUGAUGAGCUAGUCAAAUUGAUGGGCGGAGAAGAGGUGUCUGAGCUACACUUCCUUGUACUCAGAGCUGCAUUCACCGGACUACCAGCAUUUCUGCUCCUCUCUCUCCUCCACGAACACGGUCUCCGGCGUUCAUACCGUAACAUCAUCAAACUGAUUUUGAAGAUCGGUGAUAUGCUAGGGUUUGAAGAUUCAGAACCGAAACAAGAGAUGAACUUCACCUUACAGUAACAACAUCAAACUGGUUCUAGGUACUCAUUUAUAUAUAAUCCACCUUAUACUCUUUUACCGAGGAGGAGCUAUCUGGUGCUCAUCCUGCUCAAGUACUACAGAGCUUUGUGCAGGGAAAGUGGAUUGGAUCUUCCAAUCAUAACAUGCUUUCGGAUCCUCUGAAUGGAGAGAAUCUUUCAAUAUUAAAGUGGAUGAAACAGAAACUCAGCCUUUAUAUAUGUGGACAGCUUCUCCCAGUGCCCUCAUGCAUGUGGUCUCCAUAACCCUUUCAAAUCUCCAGAGAGAAGGUACUAUGGAGAUAUCUUGGCAAAGACCAGCUCAUAUGCUCGCCUUACUAAGAUUGAGUCAUUUGAUACCUUUUGCUACCCUAGAUGCCAAGGAGCUAUCUGGUGCUCAUCCUGCUGAAGUACAGAGCUUUGUGGAGGUAAAGUGGAUUGGAUCUUCUAAUCACCACACGCUUUUAGAUUCUCUAAAUGGAGAACCUCUCAUUAAAGUUGCUGAAGUUGAUGAAACAGUAACUCAACCAUACAUGCUCCAAAUAGCUACCAGCAAGCUGCAGGAGAAGUCUUUGUCACACGGAAAUUUUUGGAGAACUGUUGCGGUGGUUAGUUGACUAGUGGACUGGAGGAGGCUGCUUGAAGAUCAAACUCAACGGCCAAGGAAGCUGCUUGUAGAUCAAACUAAUAUCGACAGGGUAUCAAAGAAGAUUGGUAUGAUGUAGGAAGCAUUGCGUUUCCAGUGAUUCUUGUCAGAGCUGUCAGUGACUACAAACAGCAUCUCCAUUUUCAAAACUUGAGUGAUGAAAAGAGAAACAUACAUCUAGAGGUGACAAGAGGUGGAAGGCGAGUGGAUAUUUCAAUCUAUGACACAUUGUGGUGGGUGAUGUCAUACCUCUCAACAUUGGAAAUCAGAAGCUGUAAGUUCCGAAUGGGAGAUGUGCUUUUGUAGAGAAGGCAACAUAAGCUCUGAUGAAGCCACGGUUGGAGUCCAUCCGGGAGGAAAUGCAAAACAAGGGCACCGUUACGAUGGCAGGUCAAAAAAAAAAUGAAGAAGAAUUUGUUUAAAGAUUUACAGAUACGGUGUCACUCCAUUCACUCCAAUGAAAGGGAUGCUUAUUCAGGGGCCUCUGUUCAUCUGCUUUUUUCUUGCUAUUCGAAAUAUGGCGAAAUUCCAAACAGGAGGGGUAUUUUAGUUUACCGAUCUAACAACUCCCGGCAGCUUAUACAUCUUGCCGGUUAUAACAGGACUGUCAUUCUUGAUAACCGUUGAGUGAUUAAGCGCAUACCUGAACUGCCUCCAAGUCCUCCAGGUCAACAACCAUCAUUUGACCUGAUUUCAGCUCUGAAGAAAAUGAAAGCCAUGACGCAGGACCAUUCACAGAACCAGACACUGCCACCUUCGCCAGCUGUAAACCCGAGGGCAACAUCGUUGAGUCCUGUAAGUAAGAGGCUCAAGGCUUUGGAGAGCGAAGAAAGGGAAGGAAGAAGAACAGCUUACAACAGCAAGAAGAGGUCAUCGAUCCGAAGUGGUGCAUACUAAUUUUUGUUAGAGGAAAAUUGAAUAAAGAUUUUGGAUUUAAAAAGUGAACUACUGUAGUAGCUUACACAGAGAGAUUUUUAUCAUUAUUGUUGGAACGUGAUGACUUUUUAAUAUUUUCUCCGUUUCAAAAUAUAUGAUGUUUUAACUAAA